GACGAACGCUGGCGGCGUGCUUAACACAUGCAAGUCGAACGAUGAACCUCGACAUGACAUCUUCGGAAGGAUUUCUGAGAGGAUUAGUGGCGAACGGGUGAGUAACGCGUGAGCUACCUGCCUUAGACAAGGGGAUAGCUUCGGGCAACCGUGAUUAAUACCCUAUGAGACUCCAUUUAAGAGUGUAGGCGAAGCUAAAGCUAUUGCGGUCUAAGCUGGGCUCGCGUCUGAUUAGCUAGUUGGUGAGAUAAAAGCCCACCAAGGCGACGAUCAGUAACCGGCUUGAGAGAGUGAACGGUCACGUUGGAACUGAGGCACGGUCCAAACGCCGACGGGAGACAGCAGUAUAGUAUAUUGCACAAUGGGGGCAAACCUGGUGCAGCAACGCCGCGGGAGCGAUGAAGGAGUUCGUUUCGUAAAGCUCUGUCCUUGGAGAAGAGAAUGACGGUAACCAAUGAGGAAGCACCGGCUAAAUACGUG
rnacentral:rRNA from 1 species